AUUGAACGCUGGCGGCAGGCCUAACACAUGCAAGUCGAGCGGAUGAAGGGAGCUUGCUCCUGGCUUCAGCGGCGGACGGGUGAGUAAUGCCUAGGAAUCUGCCUGGUAGUGGGGGAUAACGUCCGGAAACGGGCGCUAAUACCGCAUACGUCCUGAGGGAGAAAGUGGGGGAUCUUCGGACCUCACGCUAUCAGAUGAGCCUAGGUCGGAUUAGCUAGUUGGUGGGGUAAAGGCCUACCAAGGCGACGAUCCGUAACUGGUCUGAGAGGAUGAUCAGCCACACUGGAACUGAGACACGGUCCAGACUCCUACGGGAGGCAGCAGUGGGGAAUAUUGGACAAUGGGCGAAAGCCUGAUCCAGCCAUGCCGCGUGUGUGAAGAAGGUCUUCGGAUUGUAAAGCACUUUAAGUUGGGAGGAAGGGCAGUAAGUUAAUACCUUGCCGUAUUGACGUUACCAACAGAAUAAGCACCGGCUAACUUCGUG
rnacentral:rRNA from 1 species